rnacentral:tRNA from 2 species
GUGCCCAUAGUGUAGCGGUUAACACUAGAGUUUGUGGAACUCUCAUCACGGGUUCGAAUCCCGUUGGGCACC